rnacentral:lncRNA from 1 species
ACACUUAAAGGAGUAGGUCCAGUAAGACCCCUUUUUGGCCCCAAAAUAUAGCAGUUUUACAAAAUUGUUAAAAUGUAAACUUUUAGUUAUUUAUUGUACAGUAGAAUGCUUCUGCUACAUAAAUAUGGGCUGUUUUUGACAAUACAAUGCACAUAUAUCAGGUACUAGCACCAUUAAGUCGUGCUAAAUUACUGAAAUCUUCACAAUUCUAGCAUUUUGGUUAAAUUUUAGACGGUUUUCGUGUGAAACGAAAGUGGCCGCAUUCGUGUUCAUCCUUAAUAUUAAAAUGUAAGAUGUAUUUUAUGAUAAUAC